AUGACACAGAGUCACCUGAGUUUGGCCAGACAUACCAAAAGCAUUUAAUACAGAAAAGGCAGAGUCUUCAACAACUAGCACUGGGAAGACUGGGUAUUUGCAUGAAAGAGAAUGAAACUUGGUCCACAUCUCUCAUCCUGUUAAAAAAAUUCAAACUCGAUCAACUCCGAAACCACCGGAGAAAACCACUGGUAGGAUUUCCAUGUGUAGGUAGAGGCAAGGGUCUUUUGAAAAAGAUUCCAGUUGCUCAAGAAAUAACAUCAAAAACUGGAAAGUGGGAUUUCGUGACCUUAAAAGGCUUCUGAACAGGAAUGGGAGCAGUCACAGG
rnacentral:lncRNA from 1 species